rnacentral:rRNA from 1 species
UAGGGAAUCUUCCACAAUGGACGCAAGUCUGAUGGAGCAACGCCGCGUGAGUGAAGAAGGGUUUCGGCUCGUAAAGCUCUGUUGGUAGUGAAGAAAGAUAGAGGUAGUAACUGGCCUUUAUUUGACGGUAAUUACUUAGAAAGUCACGGCUAACUACGUGCCAGCAGCCGCGGUAAUACGUAGGUGGCAAGCGUUGUCCGGAUUUAUUGGGCGUAAAGCGAGUGCAGGCGGUUCAAUAAGUCUGAUGUGAAAGCCUUCGGCUCAACCGGAGAAUUGCAUCAGAAACUGUUGAACUUGAGUGCAGAAGAGGAGAGUGGAACUCCAUGUGUAGCGGUGGAAUGCGUAGAUAUAUGGAAGAACACCAGUGGCGAAGGCGGCUCUCUGGUCUGCAACUGACGCUGAGGCUCGAAAGCAUGGGUAGCGAACAGGAUUAGAUACCCUGGUAGUCCAUGCCGUAAACGAUGAGUGCUAAGUGUUGGGAGGUUUCCGCCUCUCAGUGCUGCAGCUAACGCAUUAAGCACUCCGUCUGGGGAGUACGACCGCAAGGUUG